rnacentral:rRNA from 1 species
CACGUAGGGGGCGAGCGUUGUCCGGAUUUAUUGGGUUUAAAGGGUGCGUAGGCGGUCCUAUAAGUCAGUGGUGAAAUAUCGCAGCUCAACUGUGAGGGUGCCAUUGAUACUGUAGGACUUGAGUGAAUUUGAGGUAGGCGGAAUUGACGGUGUAGCGGUGAAAUGCUUAGAUAUCGUCAAGAACACCGAUAGUGAAGACAGCUUACCAAGCUUCAACUGACGCUGAGGCACGAAAGUGUGGGGAUCAAACAGG